ensembl:ncRNA F32D8.17 ncRNA
ACCCUUUUCCGAAUCGAUUCUCACGCCUUUCCCACUUUCUCUUUUCUCCCCUUUCCAACAAGAAUAAAAAUUUGAUUCGAAUGCCUGACGGGCUCGAAGUGAGAUGGAGAGAAUGGAGAAACGAAGAAAAAUGAGAAGCGUCUG